CCUACGGGAGGCAGCAGUGGGGAAUAUUGGACAAUGGACGAAACCCUGAACCAGCCACGUCGCGUGAGCGAUGAAGUCUCUCGAUAUGUUAAGCUCUAUUAGCAGGGAAGAAAAUGACGGUACCUGACUAAGAAGCCCUGGCUAACUACGUGCCAGCAGCCGCGGUAAUACGUAGGGGGCACGCGUUAUCCGGAUUUACUGGGUGUAAAGGGAGCGUAGACGGGCCUGCAAGCCAGAUGUGAAAGCCCGGGGCUCAACCCCGGGACUGCAUUUGGAACUGUAAGGCUAGAGUGUCGGAGAGGCAGGCGGAAUUCGUAGUGUAGCGGUGAAAUGCGUAGAUAUUAGGAAGAACACCGGUGGCGAAGGCAGCCUGCUGGAGGAUGACUGACGCUGAGGCUCGAAAGCGUGGGUAGCAAACAGGAUUAGAUACCCCAGUAGUC
rnacentral:rRNA from 1 species